rnacentral:rRNA from 1 species
UACGUAGGGGGCAAGCGUUGUUCGGAAUUACUGGGCGUAAAGGGCGCGUAGGCGGCUUUGCAAGUGACGGGUGAAAGCCCUCGGCUUAACCGAGGAACUGCCUGUCAGACUGUAAGGCUUGAGACCGGGAGAGGUGAGUGGAAUUCCCAGUGUAGCGGUGAAAUGCGUAGAUAUUGGGAGGAACACCAGUGGCGAAGGCGGCUCACUGGACCGGAACUGACGCUGAGGCGCGAAAGCGUGGGGAGCAAACAGG